rnacentral:rRNA from 1 species
AUUGAACGCUGGCGGCAGGCCUAACACAUGCAAGUCGAACGGUAACAGGAAGCAGCUUGCUGCUUCGCUGACGAGUGGCGGACGGGUGAGUAAUGUCUGGGAAGCUGCCUGAUGGAGGGGGAUAACUACUGGAAACGGUAGCUAAUACCGCAUAAUGUCGCAAGACCAAAGAGGGGGACCUUCGGGCCUCUUGCCAUCGGAUGUGCCCAGAUGGGAUUAGCUUGUUGGUGGGGUAACGGCUCACCAAGGCGACGAUCCCUAGCUGGUCUGAGAGGAUGACCAGCCACACUGGAACUGAGACACGGUCCAGACUCCUACGGGAGGCAUCAGUGGGGAAUAUUGCACAAUGGGCGCAAGCCUGAUGCAGCCAUGCCGCGUGUAUGAAGAAGGCCUUCGGGUUGUAAAGUACUUUCAGCGGGGAGGAAGGGAGUAAAGUUAAUACCUUGGCUCAUUGACGUUACCCGCAGAAGAAGCACCGGCUAACUCCGUG